rnacentral:rRNA from 1 species
GACGAACGCUGGCGGCGUGCUUAACACAUGCAAGUCGAACGAAGUGGCGAACGGGUGAGUAACGCGUAAUCAACCUGCCCUUCAGAGGGGGAAAACAGUUGGAAACGACUGCUAAUACCGCAUACUGAAGGAGGGGAUUGCGUCGGAUUGGCUCGUUGGAGGGGUAACGGCCCACUAAGGCGAUGAUCAGUAGCCGGGCUGAGGGGAUGAACCGCCACAUUGGGACUGGGACACGGCCCAAGCUCCUACGGGAGGCAGCAGGGGGGAAUUUUCCGCAAUGGUCGAAAGUCUGACGGAGGAACGCCGCGUGAGUGAUGACGGGCUUCGGGUUGGAAAGCUCUGUUAAUCGGGACGCGGUACCGGAAUAGAAAGCCACGGCUAACUACGUGCCAGCAGCCGCGGUAAUAC